ACGAACGCUGGCGGCGUGCUUAACACAUGCAAGUCGAACGGAAAGGCCCUGCUUUUGUGGGGUGCUCGAGUGGCGAACGGGUGAGUAACACGUGAGUAACCUGCCCUUGACUUUGGGAUAACUUCAGGAAACUGGGGCUAAUACCGGAUAGGAGCUCCUGCUGCAUGGUGGGGGUUGGAAAGUUUCGGCGGUUGGGGAUGGACUCGCGGCUUAUCAGCUUGUUGGUGGGGUAGUGGCUUACCAAGGCUUUGACGGGUAGCCGGCCUGAGAGGGUGACCGGGCCCAAUGGGACUGAGAUACGGCCCAGGAUCCUACGGGAGGCAAGAGGGGGGAAUAUUGCAAAAUGGGGCGGAGCCUGAUGCAGCAACGGCGGGUGCGGGAUGACGGCCUUUGGGGUGUAAACCGCUUUCGCCUGUGACGAAGCGUGAGUGACGGUAAUGGGUAAAGAAGCACCGGCUAACUACGUG
rnacentral:rRNA from 1 species